rnacentral:rRNA from 1 species
CGCGGUAAUACUGGCAGAACGAGUGGUGCCCACGAAUAUUGGGUCUAAAGAGACCGUAGCUGGCCUGUUAAGUCCACUGUGAAAUCUUGGGGCUCAACCUCAAGGCGUGCAGUGGAUACUGGCAGGCUUGAGAGCGGGGGAGGUCAGGGGUACUUACGGGGUAUGAGUAAAAUCAGUUGAUCCUGUAAGGACCACCAGUGGCGAAGGCGCCUGACCAAAACGCGUCUGACAGUGAGGGUCGAAGGCUAGGAGAACGAAUCGGAUUAGAUACCCGAGUAGCCCUAGCGGUGAAUUAUGCAGACUGUGGUGUUGCUAUGGCUUCGGGCCAUGGCAGUGCUGUAGCGUAGGUGCUAAGUCUGCCACCUGGGGAGUACGGCCGCAAGGUUGAAACUUAAAGGAAUUGGCGGGGGAGCACCACAAGGGGUGGAUGCUGCGGUUCAAUUGGAUUCAACGCC